CUCUUCCCAUUCCGAACAGAGAAGUUAAGCCCCGUAACGCCGAUGGUACUGCUGAACUAAAAGUGGGAGAGUAGGUAGCUGCCGUUU
rnacentral:rRNA from 1 species